rnacentral:rRNA from 1 species
AACGAACGCUGGCGGCAUGCCUAACACAUGCAAGUCGAACGAGGGCUUCGGCCCUAGUGGCGCACGGGUGAGUAACGCGUGGGAACCUGCCCUGUGGUACGGAAUAACUCCGGGAAACUGGAGCUAAUACCGUAUGUGUCUUGAGGGACAAAGAUUUAUCGCCAUGGGAUGGGCCCGCGUAGGAUUAGCUUGUUGGUGGGGUAACGGCCUACCAAGGCAACGAUCCUUAGCUGGUCUGAGAGGAUGAUCAGCCACACUGGGACUGAGACACGGCCCAGACUCCUACGGGAGGCAGCAGUGGGGAAUAUUGGACAAUGGGCGCAAGCCUGAUCCAGCAAUGCCGCGUGAGUGAUGAAGGCCUUCGGGUUGUAAAGCUCUUUCGCACGCGACGAUGAUGACGGUAGCGUGAGAAGAGCCCCGGCUAACUUCGUG